rnacentral:rRNA from 1 species
UACAUGGGGUGCAAACGUUGCUCGGAAUCAUUGGGCGUAAAGCGCGCGUAGGCGGUUACUUAAGUUGGAUGUGAAAGCCCUCGGCUUAACCGAGGAAGUGCAUCCAAAACUGAGUAGCUAGAGUACGAAAGAGGGUCGCGGAAUUCCCGGUGUAGAGGUGAAAUUCGUAGAUAUCGGGAGGAACACCGGUGGCGAAGGCGGCGACUCGGUCGGAGA